CCUACGGGAGGCUGCAGUGAGGAAUAUUGGUCAAUGGACGAGAGUCUGAACCAGCCAAGUAGCGUGAAGGAUGACUGCCCUAUGGGUUGUAAACUUCUUUUAUAUGGGAAUAAAAUGUUCCACGUGUGGGAUUUUGUAUGUACCAUAUGAAUAAGGAUCGGCUAACUCCGUGCCAGCAGCCGCGGUAAUACGGAGGAUCCGAGCGUUAUCCGGAUUUAUUGGGUUUAAAGGGAGCGUAGGUGGAUUGUUAAGUCAGUUGUGAAAGUUUGCGGCUCAACCGUAAAAUUGCAGUUGAAACUGGCAGUCUUGAGUACAGUAGAGGUGGGCGGAAUUCGUGGUGUAGCGGUGAAAUGCUUAGAUAUCACGAAGAACUCCGAUUGCGAAGGCAGUUCACUGGACUGCAACUGACACUGAGGCUCGAAAGUGUGGGUAUCAAACAGGAUUAGAUACCCUUGUAGUU
rnacentral:rRNA from 1 species